rnacentral:lncRNA from 1 species
CCUUCCCCUUACUCACACACAUCUCAGCUGGAUUUUCUCUGUGUAACGAACCCACCAGAACAGCAAUGCAGAUGUAAAGCUUUUGUUCUGCCAGCUGUUUUGAGUGAAUAUACGGCAAAAAGCUUUACACAUCUGCACCCAUCCUGGUGUGAUCCGUACGAAAAGAUGAAGACAGCCACAAUAGCAGAGUCCGCUGCGUGUAAAUGUGGGCAGCCUACAGCUCCUCGUAGUCCCCACCUCCUCGUGGCUUGCUCAUGCUGGCUCCUCCUCCUCCAAGAAAAGCCUCUAGUUCAUCUAUCUCAUUGUUCUUCUCCUUGCUCCUCUUCUUCUUUUUCUUUCUGUCUUUCUCCUCUUUGCUCUCCUCUUUCUCUUUGCCCUUCUUGUGUUUGCUCUUCUUUUUCACAGACUUCUCCUCUUCCUCUUUGCUUUUCUUCUUUUUCUUCUUCUUCUCCUUAGAAGCGUGUUUAUCUUCUUCGCUGCUCUCCUUGGGACCGGUUUCUUCCAAACCCAAACCAAAGAGGUCUGAAUCAUUUUUCAGUUUGAAGGAGU